CCAGCAUUGUCUGGCUGCCCUCAGGGUUGAUUCGGGGGUAGAUGUUAAAGCCAGGGCCUCCCCACUGCACAGAUGGGAUCAUUUAGGCCCAGGGAAUGGCGGGGCUGGCCAGGGGCCACAAAACCACGGCCAGGCUCUCUAGGCCAAAAAGUGGGGCUCGUCAGAAUCCAAUGAGGCCUCUCUAAAUUUGGAUGGGAGGAUACUGGUGUCCCCCCCAACACAGCCACCCCACCUGCUGAAGGAUGGCUCCUCUGCCUGGCUCUGACCCUGGGGCCCUCGUACCUCCACCCAAGACACGGAGCCCACAGCUCUGCCCAGAGACGUCACAGGGAGGGACUGAAGGUUCAACAGCUCAAAGAGGUUGUGUGCCUGGAGGAGGAGUGGUCAGAAACGUCAGAGGACGAGUGGUGCUCAGUCCACACCCCUGGCUUCAGUAUCUCCCACGCCCAGGGCUGUGAGCCGAGGUGGAGGCUCCAGCCAGGCCUCUGUCCCCACGCCCCUGUCUUAGAGCCUGGGAAAGGGGCGGGGCGUAGUAAUGGACCUGGGCCCGCAAUGUCCUCUGCGGCCACCUGGGGUCUCCAGAGUCCACACGAGGGACCAAUGGACAGGACCGGUUUAUUUAGGGAGAUCAUCGGGCUCCACAGAGGAGCUGAGGCCACCUGCACGGUCCUCAACCUGCUUGUGCCCCUCCCAACCCCAUGUGCCAAAGCCCCUGUUGUGCAGGGUAGGGAGGGAUCAGCAUUCGGAGUGACCAGGUAAUUGCCCACAUGGAUCACACAGGGAGAAUGUAGGAGACCUGAAAUUGAGACCCACAUGGACCCUCAUAUGCAAAAACAUAUUUUUAACUACUGUCUCUCUCCACCCAAGCUCUCCCUCCCCCCUAGUCUUUGCAUCAUCCCAAGAUCCCUAGGAAUGAGGGACAGAGAGGACAAGGACCACUCUGCUCAUUCUACAGAUGAGGAUACAGACCCAGAGAGCCACAGGGUGCCAAGAAAGCUAGACCCUAAAUUCCCCUCUUGGGCUCUUCCCCUUUAUCCCACUGUCAUUGUCUGCCCGAACCCAUUACCUGGUGCAGAGAGGUCUCCGGGGUCAGCUGCAGGGUCACUGGCUCCAGGGGACAGCCCCCUGCCAAGAUGUCCUGGAGGCACCGCUGGGGGUGGGGGAAGGAUUAUGGGGCCCUGGGCCAGCCUCUGCCUCCUCCAGGCUGUCCCUCUCAAACCACCCUUCCCCAAGGCGUCCCCCUCACUCCCCUGCUCACCACUCCCCAUCCUGACACCCCAUACGAGUACUCACCUGGCGUCCUGAAGCCCAGGAAGGUGGCUCAGCCUGGAGUGCCUGCACCAAGUGGGCCCUUCCCACUGUGCCCACCAGGAUCUGAGACUCUGCACAAGCGGAGAGGGAGAGAGCCACAUUAGGAAGAAGACACAUUUACUGGGCAGCGACUAUGUGCCAAGAACCGUACCAGGCAUUCCCAUGUCCCUCAGGAACCUACAGCAGCCCUCUGGGUCGGGAGCUAUUGCCGCGCAUUUUCAGAAGAGGAAGCUGAGGCUCAGAGACACGGAGAGGUUAAUCAUCCUGCCCCAGGGUUUCAGGAGAGAUGAGUUAGCUGAGGAAUGCUUGAAGGAGAGGCCCAGAUGGAGAAACUAAGGUGUGCACCAAGGUGACGGCUUGCACACGCUUGGAGCUGGGCCUGGGACCUGAGACUCUCAGAGCCUCUUAGUCCUGCUUCUCCGGGAACAGGCGGCUCUCGUCCUGCCUGGCCAAGCGGGAUUCCAAAGCCUGAUUCCAGCCCCCAACGUCCCAGCAAGGACAGCAGAGCAGGAGUGGGAGAGAGGAGGGGACCUCCCAGAUCUGGUGCUGACUCUGUGUGACAGGGGCAAGGCGCGGCACCUCUCUGUGCCCCAGUGUCCAGCAAACGGGCAACAGCUGUCCUGUUGUGUAGACAGACUGAUGACCAAUGAGACACUGAGGCCAGGGGUCCAAGCACUUGCCCAGGGGCAUGCAGGGAGCUGGAGAGAGUGGAGACGACGUGGCUGUGUGCUGGCCCCUUCCAGGCCCCCCCAUGUCCAAGGUCCACCACAGUGAGGUUUUCUGCGGGGGUGGUGAGGAGGCCUUCACCCUCAUCAGCCAGAGCAACGUGGGCUCCUCUCACCUGAUUUUUCGGCCUCGGAUCCAUGGAAGACCCCGGGAACCCCAGGCUCACCGAAGAUGAAUAUGGGCAUGAAGUACCCAGCGGGCAUCGGGAUGGUGGUGGCCAGAAUCAGCAUCCAGAACUGCGGGAGCAGCAGAGGUUAGAGGCAACUGGACGAGAGCGGCCGAGAGGGGGAUGGCCAGGGGACGGGGCACUUGCCCAGGGAGGAGGCUGUCCAGGCCGGGCACUGACCCAAGGCAGGAAACCCACCCCGACAAAGAGCCUGCUGUGUGCCUGGCACCUCGCCAAGGGCUUUCCUUUCUUGCCUUUCAACCUUCCCUUUGAGGUAGGCACAGCGACUCUCCCAUUUGAAAGAUGAGGAAACCGAGGCUCAGAACCCCAGCCACUUGGCCCGGUCAGAGCUGGCCGGAGGCAGGUCAGGCAGCCUGGGUGGAAGGCCCGGGCGCCCACGCAAUGGGAGGCACGGCUCCCCACCCCGUCCAAGGCCGGCCUCACUCUGCACAACCCCGGGGGCCCCGGCACCCACCUUCAUAACCAGAAAGAAGGUGAGGGUCCCAAAGAUGGUGAAGCGCGGGUGGUACCAUUCAAACCACAGGUUCUGGGGGUCGAGCUCCUGGGGCCAGGGCGGGGAUGAGUUCCUGGUCAUCAGCGCCCACGAGUGGUUGUCGAACAUGUCCUCAUCUGGAACGUGAGGAUGCCCCACAGGCUUCGCCUUACAGAUGAAGCGAGAUGCCGGGCACAGUGUGGGUAACCGAUGGGAGCUCCCCACUCCCGCCGCCCCAGCCCAGCGCCCCUUACCCGAGAGGCCAGGAAGCGGCCCACGCCAGGGGGGUAGGUGAUGGAGGCCAGAACCAAGGCCGCCAGGGCGGAAUACAGAGGUUUGCUGUGGGGCGGUGGGGGGGUGGGGGGUAAGCUCCAGGCCAGCCCUCUUCUUCCCCCACCCCAUGGAGGGGGCACCGGGCAGGAGCAGGCCCCCACACACCAAGGGCCGCAC